GGAGGAGUACGAAAGCGGCCGAACCGGCACGCUUGGAAAGCGUGUGUAGGGAAACCUACCGUGGGUUCGAAUCCCACCUCCUCCGCCA
rnacentral:tRNA from 1 species